rnacentral:rRNA from 1 species
UACGUAGGGUGCAAGCGUGUCCGGAAUUAUUGGGCGUAAAGAGCUCGUAGGCGGUCUGUCGCGUCUGGUGUGAAAAUCCAGGGCUUAACCCUGGACCUGCAUCGGGUACGGGCAGACUAGAGUGCGGUAGGGGGAGAUCGAAUCCUGGUGUAGCGGUGAAAUGCGCAGAUAUCAGGAGGAACACCGGUGGCGAAGGCGGAUCUCUGGGCCGUAACUGACGCUGAGGAGCGAAAGCAUGGGGAGCGAACAGG